rnacentral:lncRNA from 1 species
AUGAUACAUUUUUUGAUAUUUUUACUGAAAACAAGACAAAAAUACCAAGUAAUUUUUUGCAGUGUGACUCCAUUAAAUGUGUGUGUGUGUGUGUGUGUGUGUGUGUGUGUGUGUGUGUGUGUGUGUGUGUGUAGAUUAAACAUGAACGGGCCAAAACGGACAUGGCAGCAGGUCAAAAUCAAAUACAAGAACAUUCUGCAGAAUGUGAAAAAGAAUACCCACAGACAAGGCACGGGUGGUGGGUCACCAAAGGCUGACCUUACCCCAGCAGAGGACAUGGCCUUGGAGCUAAAUAAAGGCAGGCCCGUCUUAGAGGGGAUCCCUGGGGGGAAAGAGACGAGCAUAGGUUCCUCCCAAGAUGCCACCCGCUUCAUUCAAGUGUCUGGCAGCACUGUGUUCCUGUUAGAGCCACCAGCACAAGCACCAGACGAUGCUGAUCCAGGUGAAGGCCCCAGUGCAGCAGCAACAGCACAUGAUGGAGACGAUGAUGAGGAGGAGACCAUCUCUCUGGAUUCCAGAAGGCAUGAGGUAUCAUGUUAAGACUGUGAAAGUACUAUUUACUCUACAAUGGUGAGGAGUCCUCAUCAAAAUCAAAAAAUCUAAUUUCUUUUACAGGACCCAGAUGCUAUACAGUGGGAAAACCAGCCUGGCAACAUAGUGCGUAUUAAUAAAAGGACACCACAUCCUGCCAAAUUCCAGCUGCGCUAAUUGUAUUGUGUUCACAGAGCUCACAAGCUAUCAGAAAGUUGUAUGGCAACCACCUCCGGCGCCAAAUAGAACUGGCAGACAGACAUUCAGUACAAGAAGAAAAAGGUGGAAAAUCUUGCACUGGAGUUCGAAAUAAAAAAGAGGACAAUUAGGAAACUGGACCUUGAAAUAAAAAAACUUGAGAGGGAGGUGAGAUAUGCCUUCAAUGUACACUGUAUGCUAACUGUAACACAAAUGUAUUAAUCAUUAUCUUUCUUUCCUCCCCCAGCUCCAAGAAGAUGACACAGCUCAAAAUAAAAAUUAGGUAUAUUCUCGUAAAGUCAAGUGAGCCAUGACAUAUGAGCUCUUAUUGUGAGCACACAGGACGGUGGCAUCUUUCUAAGGUUUUUUUUAUUUUCCCAGCAAUCAGUACAACCAAGUCAUCGUUAUAAGGCAUCGCCCUCUUUUGCCCACCCCCCCAGCACCAGGUGUGGCCACUAGCCUAUAUGAAGGCCCAAAAUUGUGUGUUCCUUUCUGCUCUGACAAUGGCAUGCCCAUUCGUGCGAGAUGUGGUGGAUGAAGAAGCACUUGUGCUGAGGAGAGCCUUCAGGUGAGAAAGGGUCUUCAGGGACCGGUUGGACCCACUGGCCUUCCCUGAUGACCAUCUAUAUGAAAGAUACAGGUUUUCUGCAGAUGGCAUCAGGUAUCUAUGCAGACUACUGGGUCCCAGGAUUAAGCACCGCACUGCACGGAGCCAUGCACUGAGUGUGGAGCAAAUGGUUUGUGUGGCCUUGCGCUUUUUUGCUAGUGGAGCCUUCCUGUACUCAGUGGGGGAUGCAGAACAGCUGAACAAGGCCACAAUUUGCCGCACAAUAAGGAGUGUGUCUGGCUAUCAAAGCAUUAGCAGAUGUCUUCAUCUCCUUCCCUGGCCACAGAAGACUCUGUGACAUCAAAGAGGAGUUCUAUAGGAUUGCAGGUAAGAGGAUCUACAAAUUACACAAACUGUUAACACAUAGUAGGAUACUCAUUACUUUGUGUGACAGGUUUCCCCAAUGUCAUUGGUGCAGUGGACUGCACACACAUAAGGAUAAAAGCCCCCUCAGGUGCCCAUGAGGCCAAUUUUGUGAAUAGGAAAUCCUUUCACAGCAUUAAUGUUCAGGUGAACAUAACUUUUUGAUAUUGUCCAUUGACGAACACUCUGCAUUGCCAGUGAUGUGCAUUGAUUGGUGUAAUAUUCCUCAUCUUAUGAUUUCAGAUGGUCUGCAAUGCUGACUGUGAUCAGCAAUGUUGUGGCAAAAUGGCCUGGCUCAGUCCAUGACUCCAGAAUCUUUCGGGCCUCUGAAAUCUAUCAGUGCCUAUCACAAGGUAAGCCACACAACCCCUAUUUAUAACCAUCAUGGCUGUGUCAAGAAUAUCACUGUGUUUAUGAGGUAGUAAUGAUGAGAUUUUGUGUUGACAGGUGAAUUCUCUGGUGUGUUGCUGGGAGACAGGGGGUAUGGCUGCCAGCCUUUUCUCCUGACACCUUUCACAGACCCCCUGAAGCACAGCAGGCCUACAACCAUGCCCAUGCCAGGACCAGGGCCAGAGUUGAAAUGACCUUUGGCCUCCUGAAGGCACGCUUUCACUGCCUUCACAAAUUAAGGGUCAGCCCUGUUAGGGCAUGUGAUAUUACUGUGGCUUGUGCUGUCCUCCACAAUGUGGCCUGCCUGAGGAAGGAGAGGGCCCCCAGAGUGCCACCAGCCAUGGACUGGGACAAUCCGGCAAUCUUCCCUGAUGACGACAGUGGUCGGCUGCUGAGGGACCAAUAUGUGUUGAAUUAUUUUAGUUAGUAUGUGUGCUUUCAAUUUUGGUUAAAUAUGUCCUGCGGUGGCAGAGGAAUUUGGCCUCUUAUGAUGUUUGUGCGGUAUACUGUGUGUAAUACAAGGCUGCAGGGAGGCUACUGCAUCCAUUCAUUUGUCUGUUCAGUUGAUGUGUAUGGAUUUGUCCUGCAUUUAUUUUAGUGUGCAGACAUGCAGGGUGUGUUAUAUACAGACCUUUGAAUGUGUAUGUAUCAUUUUGUAUUAUAUGCUUGGAUUCUGUGCUUUCCAUCUUGUAGAGUCACUGUGACUUCAGUUUCGAAAGGAGCUGAUGGUUUACCUGCUUUGUUUUGUCCUUAUUCAAUAAAGGAACAUAAUGUUACACAUUGUGUUUUUAUAUUCAUAUGGAAUGUGUAUUUGUUUAUAUGACAGAGUACUAGGGCCACACUGAAGAAAAAGGAUAAAGUCAUAAAUUUAUGAGGCUGGUUCUUUCUGCAGAAAAGCUACAUAUUGUUUUUACAGUUUUGAUACUUAUGACAAUGUGAUACUUAAUAUUCUGGCACAUCAGCAUGUCUUUGUUUAUGAAACCAUACUGAAGUACAAUUUCACGAAAUGCCCCACAUCUGUCAUUUUAACAACUGUCC